GACGAACGCUGGCGGCGUGCUUAACACAUGCAGGUCGAACGGAAAGGCCUGCUUUCCCUUGUGGAUUGCGGGUACUCGAGUGGCGAACGGGUGAGUAACACGUGAGUGAUCUGCCCCCAACUUGGGUAUAAGCCUGGGAAACUGGGUCUAAUUCCCGAUAGGACUGCAGGGUGGUGCCUGUGGUGGAAAACGAUUUUCUAGUGGUUGGGGAUGAGCUCGCGGCCUAUCAGCUUGUUGGUGGGGUAAUGGCCUACCAAGGCGGCGACGGGUAGCCGGCCUGAGAGGGUGGACGGCCACAUUGGGACUGAGAUACGGCCCAGACUCCUACGGGAGGCAGCAGUGGGGAAUAUUGCACAAUGGGCGGAAGCCUGAUGCAGCGACGCCGCGUGGGGGAUGACGGCCUUCGGGUGGUAAACUCCUUUCGACCGCGAGGAAGCCACCUGGUUGGAAGGGUGGUGACGGUAGUGGUAGAAGAAGCACCGGCUAACUACGUG
rnacentral:rRNA from 1 species